rnacentral:rRNA from 1 species
GAUGAACGCUCGCGGGAGGCCUAACACAUGCAAGCCGAGCGGUAGAGUUUCUUAGGAAACUUGAGAGCGGCGCACGGGUGCGUAACACGUGUGCAACCUACCUUUAUCUGGGGGAUAGCCUUUCGAAAGGAAGAUUAAUACCCCAUAAUAUAAUGAUUGGCAUCAAUUAUUAUUGAAAACUCCGGUGGAUAGAGAUGGGCACGCGCAAGAUUAGAUAGUUGGUGAGGUAACGGCUCACCAAGUCAAUGAUCUUUAGGGGUCCUGAGAGGGAGAUCCCCCACACUGGUACUGAGACACGGACCAGACUCCUACGGGAGGCAGCAGUGAGGAAUAUUGGACAAUGGGUGAGAGCCUGAUCCAGCCAUCCCGCGUGAAGGAUGACGGUCCUAUGGAUUGUAAACUUCUUUUGUACAGGGAUAAACCUACCCUCGUGAGGGUAGCUGAAGGUACUGUACGAAUAAGCACCGGCUAACUCCGUG